UACGUAGGGAGCAAGCGUUGUCCGGAAUCAUUGGGCGUAAAGCGCGCGUAGGUGGCUUCGUAAGUCCGUUGUGAAAGUCAAAGGCUCAACCUUUGAAAGCCGAUGGAUACUGUGAAGCUAGAGUACGGAAGAGGCGAGUGGAAUUCCUGGUGUAGCGGUGGAAUGCGCAGAUAUCAGGAGGAACACCAAUAGCGAAGGCAGCUCGCUGGGACGUUACUGACACUGAGGCGCGAAAGCGUGGGGAGCGAACCGG
rnacentral:rRNA from 1 species